ACAUAUAAACGAGGCGAGGAGGGCAGGCUUUGGGGCUUUCGCUUGUUUGCAAAACCUCAACUCAGAAGGAGACGAAAGGAAGUGGGCGAUGCGAAAUCCAGAGGCAGAGCGGUGGAAAGCAGGCCAAUGAGGAUGAUCCAAGGCAUCAGGAUUUACAAUUCCAUCUACAGAAACAUGCGAAUUCACGUUUGUCGGUGAGGAAGGACAACCGCCAGUCCAGUCUCUCUCUGCGGUUCCGGGAAGAUGAGGACAGUGGUGGGUGGGUCUCGAAGAUUAUUGGGCAGGAGGAGAAGUUCACUGCCAUGGCUAUUGUUCAGUAGUAGUCGUAGCGGUGAUAGUAGUGGUGAUUGUAGAAUUAGAAGAAGAUGGUUUUCCACUACGGAUGACGAUAGGGGAGAAGAGUUCGUUCAGAGCUCCAAGGUCGAGAUCUUUGAUCGCCAUCUCAAGCGCAAACAACGUGACAGAGCAGCAUGGUUGAUGCGUCCAAAGGAUUCUUUUGUUGAUGCUGUGGCUGAAAAUCUAUUAGAUCGCUUGGAGGCCCAGAACUUGGGGAAGACGAUUGGCAGUGCUAGAGAAAUAAACGGGCUCUACUAUUUGGAUGGGGAUGUCUUGCGUAAUAAAAAAACUCAUGGGCUGAGUGGUGGUAUAGAAAAACUAAUUAUGAUGGACACAUCAUAUGACAUGAUCAAGUUAUGUAAGGAUGCUGAGCAAGAUGUGCCCGACAAGAACAUUGAAACAUCAUUUGUAGUAGGCGAUGAAGAGUUUUUGCCUGUGAAUGAAAGUUCUCUAGAUCUUGUGAUUAGUUGCUUGGGACUGCAUUGGAUCAAUGAUCUGCCCGGAGCCAUGAUACAGUGUAGACAAGCACUGAAGCCUGAUGGCCUAUUUUUGGCAGCUAUUCUUGGUGGAGAAACAUUGAAGGAGCUGAGGAUAGCAUGCACUAUUGCACAAAUGGAACGUGAAGGGGGCAUAAGUCCUCGAUUAUCACCAUUGGCACAGGUGCGGGAUGCAGGCAAUCUUUUGACUAGAGCAGGUUUCACUCUUCCAGGUGUUGAUGUUGAUGAAUACAUUGUCAAGUACAAAAGUGCUCUGGAGCUGAUAGAGCAUCUGCGUGCAAUGGGUGAAACUAAUGCUCUUUUACAAAGGAAUAAUAUUUUGAAGAGGGAAACAGCUCUUGCAACUGCAGCUGUCUAUGAGUCAAUGUUUGCUGCAGAAGAUGGCACCAUCCCUGCAACAUUUCAGGUAAUCAGAACAAACACGGUGUGAUUAUCGAAUUCGUCUAAAUGCAUCAAUUGAUUAUGUUCGACUUCUUCUACGGCAAAGACUAGCCCUUCAUGGUCAUGGGGAGUUUAAAGAUUCAAAUAAUCAAGGUUAUUUAUAUGACAGGGUGGAGGGAACACCAUUCACAGCCGACGGCUAAAAGGAGGGGAUCUGCAAUAAUAUCAUUCAAGGAUAUUCGGAAGCAAUUUGGCAGUGGUGGCGGCAGCGGCUGAUUCUCAGUCUCUGUCACUCUUCUUAUUUCAUCAGCGACCCUUGUUUUUGUUUUCGUUGUUGGCAUGUCUGAUAAUUAAUGUCUUCCUUGUAGAAUGGUUGCAGGUAGAAGAGAGAAGGAAUGCCUUGAGGACUUAUAGCUGCUGAUAAAUAACCUUAAUAGUGGAUUAAGUUUGAUUAAUAAACAUUAUGGAGAUGUUUUUCCAACUCCUGCUCUGAGACAGUUCAAAAUUAGACCUUGGCAGCCUCUGAGAUGCACAUUUCUGCUGUAUAUGCGACAGUUUUGUCUGAAUAAUUUAGUUGAAUGCACAUCUUGUUAAACUGUAAAUGAUUCAGCGGUAAUGAAUAUCAGAGAAGAGACCUAAGUCGUAA